AAAGGGUGCGUAGGCGGCCUGUUAAGUCAGGGGUGAAAGACGGUAGCUCAACUAUCGCAGUGCCCUUGAUACUGAUGGGCUUGAAUGGACUAGAGGUAGGCGGAAUGAGACAAGUAGCGGUGAAAUGCAUAGAUAUGUCUCAGAACACCGAUUGCGAAGGCAGCUUACUAUGGUCUUAUUGACGCUCAUGCACGAAAGCGUGGGGAGCAAACAGGAUUAGAUACCCGGGU
rnacentral:rRNA from 1 species